rnacentral:rRNA from 1 species
ACGCUCGACACCUACGGGAGGCUGCAGUGGGGAAUAUUGCACAAUGGGGGAAACCCUGAUGCAGCAACGCCGCGUGAAGGAAGACGGUUUUCGGAUUGUAAACUUCUGUUCUUAGUGAAGAUAGUGACGGUAGCUAAGGAGCAAGCCACGGCUAACUACGUGCCAGCAGCCGACGGUAAUCUGAGGCGGGCUGGACGAAGGC